rnacentral:rRNA from 1 species
GCAGUCGAGCGCAGGAAGCUCACGGAACUCUUCGGAGGGAAGUGAAGGGAAUGAGCGGCGGACGGGUGAGUAACACGUAAGGAACCUGCCCCAAGGAUUGGGAUAACUCCGAGAAAUCGGAGCUAAUACCGAAUAGUUCUUCAGACCGCAUGGUCUGAUGAUGAAAGGCGCUCCGGCGUCACCUUGGGAUGGCCUUGCGGUGCAUUAGCUAGUUGGUGGGGUAAUGGCCCACCAAGGCGACGAUGCAUAGCCGACCUGAGAGGGUGAUCGGCCACACUGGGACUGAGACACGGCCCAGACUCCUACGGGAGGCAGCAGUAGGGAAUCUUCCACAAUGGACGAAAGUCUGAUGGAGCAACGCCGCGUGAGUGAUGAAGGUUUUCGGAUCGUAAAACUCUGUUGUAAGGGAAGAACAGGUAUGAGAGGUAAUGCUCAUGCUAUGACGGUACCUUGCGAGAAAGCCACGGCUAACUACGUGCCAGCAGCCGCGGUAAUACGUAGGUGGCAAGCGUUGUCCGGAAUUAUUGGGCGUAAAGCGCGCGCAGGCGGCCUUUUAAGUCUGAUGUGAAAGCCCCCGGCUCAACCGGGGAGGGUCAUUGGAAACUGGAAGGCUUGAGUACAGAAGAGAAGAGUGGAAUUCCAUGUGUAGCGGUGAAAUGCGUAGAGAUGUGGAGGAACACCAGUGGCGAAGGCGACUCUUUGGUCUGUAACUGACGCUGAGGCGCGAAAGCGUGGGGAGCAAACAGGAUUAGAUACCCUGGUAGUCCACGCCGUANACGAUGAGUGCUAGGUGUUGGGGGGUUUCCGCCCCUCAGUGCUGAAGCUAACGCAUUAAGCACUCCGCCU